GUGGACCUGGCUGGGAC
rnacentral:miRNA from 1 species